GCUUGAUCCGCCUUUCAACAACGCAAACAAACAAACCAUACAUCUCAUUUUAUAUCAGAUGGCGUCAGUCACAUUGGCAUAUGGAUCGCGAUUGUUCCCUUUCUUGUGUCGGAUUAUUCGAGAUACCGUUGCAUACAAAUAUGGACAAAAAGAUUAAUCCUCUUCCUCAUUGAUCUCUAGUAUCUCCAAAGGAUGCAUAUCUGCUGUUGUGGAAAAAGAUUUGGCGCAAAGCAGCUUACUGUAUCUGCUAUAUGUUAAGAGGAUAUAUAACUGGUGUGAACCUGUGAUUGAGUUCUCUCUCCGACGAUCCAUUUUUUCCAACUGUA